UGCGAAAUCCUGUGAAUCAUCGAGUCUUUGAUGCAAGUUGCACCCGAGGCCUUGGAGGAGGACACGUUUGCCUAGGCGUCUCAC
rnacentral:rRNA from 1 species